rnacentral:rRNA from 1 species
AAUAAGCAGUAGUUUGACAUGCAUGUUUCGCAAUCAGGGACGAAUAGCUCAGUAAAACUGCGAUGAUUUAGUCUGGCUGUGUAGAUAACUACGUGAAAAUGUAGCUAAGGGAAGGCAGAAUAAGACGCAGGACUAUCAGUUAGUUGGUAGUGUAAUGGACUACCAAGACAGUGACGGUUGACGGGAAAUCAGGGUUUGGUUCCGGAGAGG